GAUUGAACGCUGGUGGCAGGCCUAACACAUGCAAGUCGAGCGGCAUCGAGUGAUCGCAGUUUACUGAGUUCAUGUCGGCGAGCGGCGGACGGGUGAGUAAAGUCUGGGAAUCUGGCCGAAGGAGGGGGAUAACUGCUGGAAACGGCAGCUAAUACCGCAUGAAGUCGCGAGACCAAAGYGGGGGACCUUCGGGCCUCACGCCUUCGGAUGAGCCCAGAUGAGAUUAGCUGGUAGGUAAGGUAAAGGCUYACCUAGGCGACGAUCUCUAGCGGGUCUGAGAGGAUAGCCCGCCACACUGGAACUGAGACACGGUCCAGACUCCUACGGGAGGCAGCAGUGGGGAAUAUUGCACAAUGGGCGAAAGCCUGAUGCAGCCAUGC
rnacentral:rRNA from 1 species